UAGGGAAUCUUCGGCAAUGGGGGCAACCCUGACCGAGCAACGCCGCGUGAGUGAAGAAGGUUUUCGGAUCGUAAAGCUCUGUUGUAAGAGAAGAACGUGUGUGAGAGUGGAAAGUUCACACAGUGACGGUAACUUACCAGAAAGGGACGGCUAACUACGUGCCAGCAGCCGCGGUAAUACGUAGGUCCCGAGCGUUGUCCGGAUUUAUUGGGCGUAAAGCGAGCGCAGGCGGUUUAAUAAGUCUGAAGUUAAAGGCAGUGGCUUAACCAUUGUUCGCUUUGGAAACUGUAAAACUUGCGUGCAGAAGGGGAGAGUGGAAUUCCAUGUGUAGCGGUGAAAUGCGUAGAUAUAUGGAGGAACACCGGUGGCGAAAGCGGCUCUCUGGUCUGUAACUGACGCUGAGGCUCGAAAGCGUGGGGAGCAAACAGG
rnacentral:rRNA from 1 species